AUACGUAGGGAGCGAGCGUUGUCCGGAAUUACUGGGUGUAAAGGGUGCGUAGGCGGGUAGACAAGUCAGGUGUGAAAACCAUCGGCUCAACCGGUGAACUGCACUUGAAACUGUAAAUCUUGAGUGAAGUAGCGGCAAGCGGAAUUCCGAGUGUAGCGGUGAAAUGCGUAGAUAUUCGGAGGAACACCAGUGGCGAAGGCGGCUUGCUGGGCUUUAACUGACGCUGAGGCACGAAAGCGUGGGGAGCAAACAGGAUUAGAUACCCUGGUAGUCCACGCUGUAAACGAUGAAUGCUAGGUGUGGGGGGACUGACCCCUUCCGUGCCGGAGUAAACACAAUAAGCAUUCCACCUGGGGAGUACGACCGCAAGGUUGAAACUCAAAUGAAUUGACGGGG
rnacentral:rRNA from 1 species